UGGGGAAUAUUGCGCAAUGGGCGAAAGCCUGACGCAGCGACGCCGCGUGAGGGAUGAAGGUUUUCGGAUCGUAAACCUCUGUCAGAAGGGAAGAAACCGCACUGUGCUAAUCAGCAGUGCCUUGACGGUACCUUCAAAGGAAGCACCGGCUAACUCCGUGCCAGCAGCCGCGGUAAUACGGAGGGUGCAAGCGUUAAUCGGAAUUACUGGGCGUAAAGCGCACGUAGGCUGCUUUGUAAGUCAGGGGUGAAAUCCCACGGCUCAACCGUGGAACUGCCUUUGAUACUGCUUAGCUUGAAUCCGGGAGAGGGUGGCGGAAUUCCAGGUGUAGGAGUGAAAUCCGUAGAUAUCUGGAGGAACAUCAGUGGCGAAGGCGGCCACCUGGACCGAUAUUGACGCUGAGGUGCGAAAGCGUGGGGAGCAAACAGG
rnacentral:rRNA from 1 species